rnacentral:rRNA from 1 species
GACGAACGCUGGCGGCGUGCUUAACACAUGCAAGUCGAACGAAGAGCGAUGGAAGCUUGCUUCUAUCAAUCUUAGUGGCGAACGGGUGAGUAACGCGUAAUCAACCUGCCCUUCAGAGGGGGACAACAGUUGGAAACGACUGCUAAUCCCGCAUACGAUCUAAUCUCGGCAUCGAGGAUAGAUGAAAGGUGGCCUCUACAUGUAAGCUAUCACUGAAGGAGGGGAUUGCGUCUGAUUAGCUAGUUGGAGGGGUAACGGCCCACCAAGGCGAUGAUCAGUAGCCGGUCUGAGAGGAUGAACGGCCACAUUGGGACUGAGACACGGCCCAGACUCCUACGGGAGGCAGCAGUGGGGAAUCUUCCGCAAUGGACGAAAGUCUGACGGAGCAACGCCGCGUGAGUGAUGACGGCCUUCGGGUUGUAAAGCUCUGUUAAUCGGGACGAAAGGCCUUCUUGCGAAUAGUGAGAAGGAUUGACGGUACCGGAAUAGAAAGCCACGGCUAACUACGUG